UUUUUGGAUGUCUGUUGGACAAUUUGAAGUUCUGCUGAAACAAUUAGCUCCAAGUUUGAAGAGGCAGAGGACUAGACACUAGUGUUGAGAUGGCUUUCUGUCAUGAUAGCAUGUACCAGAUAAACACAUGAAACUAUGGUAACAACCGUUAGCUUACGUUAGCACAGAUGAAAGUUCAAACAAAGACGUUUAUCAAACUGUUAAAGCUCACAAACCAUCGUCAUCGGAGAAAUCCGACGCUAUGACUCUCCACAAGUCGUCCUUCAGGUCGUUAUCUUUGUAAUGUUUGUGUCUUUUAUCAAAAAUCACUCUGUUCUCCGACACGGAAACAAUCAGCCGGUCGGCCAUGUUGGAUAUACCGGUGAAUCUGACGUCGCAACAACACGAAAUCUGAGAUGUGGACACACAGUAUGAGAAACUUUAGAAAAUGGACCAUGAUCAGAAAAAAAUAAAUGCCGCAAUAUCGCUGGACGGGAAAACGUCGCUGAUGUGACGCUUGUAUUGACAGGAUACGGGUUUGAAAAAAAAUAUUGACGUCUGAAAUAAACGCACGACAAAAAGCUCCCGGUGUGUAAGGACCCUCAAAUGAUAAAGAAAUGUUGGAUCUUUAAACAUUGCCAUGAGCAGCCCAGUCCGUGAUGAAACUCUCGAGAGCAUUUCACUUCAAACAUAAGGACAGGACCGAAAUAAACGAGAGUCUGCUUUAUUGACCUCCUCCAGGUCAGAAGAGACACGGUCGGACAGGUAGCAUCUGUCACCACAGCGGG